GGCUGGAGAAGGCCCUGGAGCUGGUCCGGCACCAGCUGGAUGAAUGCCAAGGUCCGGAGCUGGCGGAGGAGAAAAUCUGGUACCAGCAGAGGCAGCUGCAGGACGAGCUGGUGCAAGUCAGAGCCCGGCUCUGCGACCUGGCGCUGGACAGCGAGAGGGCUUGGGGAGAUUUCGCCGCCCUAGAAAAUGAGCUGCUGAUGCUGCGGGAAACGCUGGCUCAGAUCCGACAGCUUGGGCACCCCCAGGAGCAGGGGGCUGCCCAGCAGGAGCUGUGGAUGAUCGAUGACAUCAUUGCGGGGUUGGGAGCCAGCCCUGCCCCCUACCCCGCCCUGGACCCCAGGACAAGUCCAGGCUUCUCUCUGGCUGCCCCCCCCAUUCUGGAGCAUGGGGGGGGCUCAGCCCGGAGCCACCUG